rnacentral:rRNA from 1 species
AUUGAACGCUGGCGGCAUGCCUUACACAUGCAAGUCGAACGGUAACGGGCCUUCGGGUGCCGACGAGUGGCGCACGGGUGCGUAAUACAUCGGAACGUGCCCGAUCGUGGUGGAUCACGAGGCGAAAGCUUUGCUAAUACCGCAUACGAUCUACGGAUGAGAGCAGGGGACCGCAAGGCCUUGCGCGGACGGUGCGGCCGAUGGCAGAUUAGGUAGUUGGUGGGAUAAAAGCUUACCAAGCCGACGAUCUGUAGCUGGUCUGAGAGGAUGAUCAGCCACACUGGGACUGAGACACGGCCCAGACUCCUACGGGAGGCAGCAGUGGGGAAUUUUGGACAAUGGGCGCAAGCCUGAUCCAGCCAUGCCGCGUGCAGGAUGAAGGCCUUCGGGUUGUAAAAUGCUGUUGUACGGAACGAAAAGCCGUCUUUUAAUACAGGAGGGUCAUGACGGUACCGUAAGAAUAAGCACCGGCUAACUACGUG